rnacentral:rRNA from 1 species
CCCUUAGAUGUUCUGGGCAGCACGCGCGCUACAAUGGUCUUCGCAAACGGAUGCAUUCUCGAAGGAGAAUGCCAAUCUUGGAAUCUAUGCCUUGGUCGGGACAGUUGCUUGCAAUUUUUCGACUCGAACCAGGAAUUCCUUGUAAUCGUGAUUAAUCACAUCACGAUGAAUACGUCCCUGCCCUUUGUACACACCGCCCGUCGCUCCUACCGAUCGAAGAGUUAGGUGAAUUGUUUUGAUCGAUAAGAUUUGACUAUGGUCAACUCUCAUUGUGAAAUUCUGUGAAUCUGACUGUUUAGAGGAAGGAAAAGUCGUAACA